GAAAAAAAGAAGAAAAGCCUAGCAGAGCUGGAGAGCGGGGCACCAAGGCACAAAGUUAGCACUGCUUGAAACCGACAUUUCCAAGCAAGUGCCCGUGGAUGCUUCCAAGAUGGUGAUCUGGUUAUUUCCAGGGCUGGAGUCCUCAGGGACCUCUUUUCAUGUUUGGCCAUUUCUGGUUGGCUCUCAUCCAGCUGCUGCCUGCCUGCUGCACUCCAGGCCAACUGGGAGCAGCAUUCUACAGGAUCAAGGAUCACAGGAACACCCAAUCCUUGGCCCUGGUCCCCUAGAAGCUCCAGGCCUUCACUGGUGUCCAAUGGGCCUGAGGGGGCAGAAUCAGGCCCAGGAAGAUGGAUUUCCCCGGUCCCCUCAGCCCCAACCCAGCAGGGGAGGGAGAAGACUGCUUCAUUAUGUUUAAUGGGAUUAUUGGGGGGGAUAGUAGUCAUGGGGCAUUAGCUGCUAAUUGGGUCCAUAAUAAAGUUAAUAAAGCUCUUA